AGAGCACAGGGUGAAUGCCUUGGCACCAAGAGCCGAUGAAGGACGUGAUAAGCUGCGAAAAGCUGUGAGGAGGAGCAAAUAUCCAUUAUAUUCACAGAUAUCCGAAUGAGGAAACUCUAGUUAGGAAAAAAGCUAACUAAUCCAUACAUGAGUAAAGUAGUGUAUGUGAGGGGAACGUAGGGAACUGAAACAUCUAAGUACCUACAGGAAAAGAAAGAAAACUCGAUUCCUUGAGUAGUGGCGAGCGAAAGAGGAAGAGCCUAAACCAAGAGAAGUAAUUUUCUUGGGGUUAUGGACUACAUAAAUGAUUCAAUAGAUUUAGCAGAACUGUUUGGAAAAGCAGACCAAAGAUAGUGAAAGUCUAGUAAGCGAAAAAUCGAAAGACAUGGUAGUAUCCGGAGUAGUGCGAGACACGGGAAAUCUCGUAUGAAAAAGUGGGGACCACCCCAUAAGGCUAAAUACUACUUGGUGACCGAUAGUGGAACAGUACCGUGAGGGAAAGGUGAAAAGAACCCCGGGAGGGGAGUAGAACGGUCCGGCGAGUUAUUUUAUAUGGCAAGGUUAAGUACUAUCAAAGUACGAAGCCGAAGCGAGAGCGAGUCUGAAAAGGGCGAGUAAGUCAUAUGAAAUAGACCCGAAACCGAGUGACCUAUCCAUGGUCAGGAUGAAGCUUGAGUAAAAUCAAGUGGAGGUCCGAACCCAUAAGCGUUAAAAAGCUUCGGGAUGAACUGUGGAUAGCGGAGAAAUUCCAAUCGAACUCGGAGAUAGCUGGUUCUCCUCGAAAUAGUUUUAGGACUAGCCUUGUUUAGUAGUAUGUGGGGGUAGAGCACUGAAUGAGCUAGGGGCCAAACCAGGUUACUGAACUCUAUCAAACUCCGAAUACCAUGUACGUAAGAACAGGAGUCAGACUGCGGGAGCUAAGUUCCGUGGUCAAAAGGGAAAGAGCCCAGAUCGUCAAUUAAGGUCCCAAAGAUAUAGUUAAGUGGAAAACGAUGUGAUUUUGCGUAAACAACCAGGAUGUUGGCUUAGAAGCAGCCAUUCAUUUAAAGAGUGCGUAAUAGCUCACUGGUCGAGUGGAGUUGCGCGGAAAAUUACCGGGGCUAAACUAUACACCGAAAUUGCGGAUUCAUGAGUAAUCAUGAGUGGUAGAGGAGCAUUCUAUAGUAGGACGAAGGUAGAUCGAAAGGACUGCUGGACGAGAUAGAAGAGAGAAUGCCGGAAUAAGUAGCGAAAGCAUGGUGAGAAUCCAUGCCAUCGAAAGUCUAAGGUUUCCUGGGGAAGGUUCGUCCGCCCAGGGUAAGUCGGGACCUAAGGUGAGGCCGAAAGGCGUAUCUGAUGGACAGCAGGUAGAAAUUCCUGCACCACCGAUAUACUUAAAAAAUGCAAGGGACACAGUAGUGGAAGGAAAGCGAGGAAGAGGAAAGACUCGUAUCGAAAGAUAUAGUGAAAAAAUAAGUAACGAAUUUCCAAGAAGCACACUGGCGAGAAAAGCUUGUAGGAAUUGUAUAAAGGUGCCCGUACCGCAAACCGACACAGGUAGAUGAGGAGAGGAUCCUAAGAUGAGCGAGAGAAGCAUUGUUAAGGAACUCGGCAAAUUGACCCCGUAACUUAGGGAGAAGGGGUGCCAAAGUAAAAUUUGGUCGCAGAGAAGAGGCCCAAGCAACUGUUUAACAAAAACACAGGUUUCUGCUAAAUCGAAAGAUGAAGUAUAGGAGCUGACGCCUGCCCAGUGCUGGAAGGUUAAGGGGAAGAGUUAGAUGUAAGUCGAAGCUUAGAACCAAAGCCCCAGUGAACGGCGGCCGUAACUAUAACGGUCCUAAGGUAGCGAAAUUCCUUGUCAGGUAAGUUCUGACCCGCACGAAAGGCGUAAUGAUUUGGGCGCUGUCUCGACAAUGUACUCGGCGAAAUUGUAGUACUAGUGAAGAUGCUAGUUACCUGCGACAAGACAGAAAGACCCCAUGGAGCUUUACUGUAGCUUGAUACUGGGUUUCGAUAAUUUAUGUACAGGAUAGGUGGGAGGCGAAGAAGCAAUUGCGCCAGCAGUUGUGGAGUCAUCCUUGGGAUACCACCCUUAAGUUAUUGAAAUUCUAACCUGUAGUCCUGAGCGGGCUAGGGGACAAUGUCAGGCGGGCAGUUUGACUGGGGCGGUCGCCUCCAAAAGAGUAACGGAGGCGCGCAAAGGUUUCCUCAGCGCGGACAGAAAUCGCGCGAAAGAGUGCAAAGGCAGAAGGAAGCUUAACUGAGAGACUGACAAGUCGACCAGAUACGAAAGUAGGUCUUAGUGAUCCGGCGGUAGUGAGUGGAAAUGCCGUCGCUCAACGGACAAAAGUUACCCUGGGGAUAACAGGCUUAUCUCCCCCAAGAGUUCACAUCGACGGGGAGGUUUGGCACCUCGAUGUCGGCUCA
rnacentral:rRNA from 1 species